AGAGCUGCCAGGGUGGCACAGUACUCCUCUCUCGCUGUUCUGUGCACCUCCACAACAGGUGGAAUAUGUAAAUAUAUUCAGGUCACCCCAGUCUUCAGUGUGAGUAGUAUACUGCGCUUCGAAAAUGGAGAUCAAAGAUCUACCACUUGAAAAAUGGACUGAAAACCAUGUGAGCUCCUGGCUGGAAUUAAUAGGAUUGAAAGAUCAAUACAUACAGAAACUUCAUGAGGAUGAAGUUACAGGGCCAGUCCUCAAGGGGACAACAGAAGACUUUCUAAAAGCCAAGACUGUGAUGAAACCUGGCCAAAUCGAUCUUCUUUUGGUCUUGACAGGUUCAUUCACAGAAGCAAGCUUGAAAAAUUCCUCACUGGCACUCUAAAUGAAAGGAGAUUGAAGUGGCUCAGUGGUGAAGUUUGGGCAACACCAGAAAUUACCCAGCUGUUGAAGCGUGUUCAAGAAUGGACAGAAAAUGGUGCAGUUUUUGUACAGGGCACCUGCAAAGGCAGCAAGAUCAAAGUUAUUCCAUUGUAUUCUGCCUCCAUGCCUAAUGCCAAUGAAAAUGUAAUAUUUUACUUGGGUUUUUCAUUUGAUGGUCCAGUUGCUUUUGAUAUUCAAGUUCUUCCCUAAAAUAAAAUUACUUGCUUUCAUCUUUGUGCAAAGUAGCUAUUUGCUAAAGGCUUUUAAAAGGAAAGACUGCAACUGACCAAAUAAAGUAUGAACAACUUAUGACGAUCUUCAAACGUGCUAAUUUGCUUAGGUUUGAAGUUUAAGGAAUGCUUUUUUUUUUUUUUUUACCAUUUCUUAACUUUUAUUAGAUACUAAAUAGCACUGAAUUUCAAUUACAUUUAGGAUGUAUAGUCCUUAUUUUUGAUAAAGCAUGUAUUUUCAUACAGCAGCUUUUUGAAUAAUGUUAUUGCAUUUGUAAGAAAUAUUUUAUCAAUAUCUAUAAAAAUUACAGCAAAU